GACGAACGCUGGCGGCGUGCUUAACACAUGCAAGUCGAACGGAAAGGCCCUGCUUUUGUGUUGUGCUCGUUUGGCGAACAGGUGAGUAACACGUGAGUAACCUGCCCUUGACUUUGUGAGAACUUCAGGAGACUGGGGCGAAUACCGGAUAGGAUCUCCUGCUGCAUGUUGUGGAUAGGAGAGUGUCGGCGGUUGGGGAUGGACUCGCGGCUUAUCAGCUUGUUGGUGUGGUAGUGGCUUACCAAGGCUUUGACGGGUAGCCGGCAUGAGAGCGUGACCGGCCACAUGGGGACUGAGAGACGGACCAGACUCCUACGGGAGGCAGCAGUCGAGAAUAUGGCACAAUGGGCGGAAGUCUGAUGCAGCAACGCCGCGUGCGGGAUGACGGCCUUCGAGUUGUAAACCGCUUUCGCCUGUGACGAAGCGUGAGUGACGGUAAUGGGUAAAGAAGCCCCGGCUAACUACGUG
rnacentral:rRNA from 1 species